UCGGGGCGCACCAGGCGCGAAAACUUUACAAUGCCGGCAACGGCGAUAAGGGAACCUCGAGUGCCAGGUUACAAAUCUGGCUGUCGUGAUGCCUAAAAAGCAUUGCAUAGCAAGGGCCGGGCAAGACCGGUGCCAGCCGCCGCGGUAACACCGGCGGCUCGAGUGGUAACCGUUAUUAUUGGGUCUAAAGGGUCUGUAGCCGGCCGGGUAAGUCUCUUGGGAAAUCUGGCAGCUUAACUGUCAGGCUUUCAGGAGAUACUGCCUGGCUCGAGGCCGGGAGAGGUGAGAGGUACUUCAGGGGUAGGGGUGAAAUCUUGUAAUCCUUGAAGGACCACCAGUGGCGAAGGCGUCUCACCAGAACGGACCUGACGGCAAGGGACGAAAGCUAGGGGCACGAACCGGAUUAGAUACCCGGGUAGUCCUAGCCGUAAACGAUACUCGCUAGGUGUCGGCCACGGUGCGACCGUGGUCGGUGCCGUAGGGAAGCCGUGAAGCGAGCCACCUGGGAAGUACGGCCGCAAGGCUGAAACUUAAAGGAAUUGGCGGGGGAGCAC
rnacentral:rRNA from 1 species